CUCUUCCUCGCUUCUCUCCUUCAUCCAACACCCAGAUCUGAUGGUGAUCAGAUCUAAGAUGAGAAAAUAGAGAGAAAAAGAGAAGAAGAAGGGUUCUUCUUCUCUUCAUGGUGAUCUGGUUCAUAUUCCGUUGGAUCUACGUGAAAAAGUUUGCGCAGCGAUCUCUUUCUUCAAGAUCUAGAAGAAGAGAUCUAGAUCUAAAGAUGAGGAGCGAGAUCUGUAAGAUGCUAGUACACUCAUGAUCUUGAUGCUCCAAUCAAGUGGCUCCGUGUGGAUACCAGUAG
rnacentral:lncRNA from 1 species